rnacentral:rRNA from 1 species
GACGAACGCUGGCGGCGUGCUUUACACAUGCAAGUCGAACGGUGAAAGCGGAGCUUGCUCCGCUGGAUCAGUGGCGAACGGGUGAGUAACACGUGGGUGAUCUGCCCUGCACUUCGGGAUAAGCCUGGGAAACUGGGUCUAAUACCGGCUCGGACCCUGGGAUGCAUGUCCUGGGGUGGAAAGCUUUUGCGGUGUGGGAUGGGCCCGCGGCCUAUCAGCUUGUUGGUGGGGUGAUGGCCUACCAAGGCGACGACGGGUAGCCGGCCUGAGAGGGUGACCGGCCACACUGGGACUGAGAUACGGCCCAGACUCCUACGGGAGGCAGCAGUGGGGAAUAUUGCACAAUGGGCGCAAGCCUGAUGCAGCGACGCCGCGUGAGGGAUGACGGCCUUCGGGUUGUAAACCUCUUUCAGCACCGACGAAGCGCAAGUGACGGUAGGUGCAGAAGAAGGACCGGCCAACUACGUGCCAGCCGCCGCCGUAA